GGGCCCGUGGUCUAGUGGUAUGACAUCACCUUGACGUGGUGAGGGUCGCCGGUUCGAAUCCGGCCGGGCCCA
rnacentral:tRNA from 1 species